CGCUGUCACUCCUACGGGAGGCAGCAGUGGGGAAUCUUGGACAAUGGGCGCAAGCCUGAUCCAGCCAUGCCGCGUGAGUGAUGAAGGCCCUAGGGUCGUAAAGCUCUUUCGCCAGGGAUGAUAAUGACAGUACCUGGUAAAGAAACCCCGGCUAAACUCCGUGCCAGCAGCCGCGGUAAUACGGAGGGGGUUAGCGUUGUUCGGAAUUACUGGGCGUAAAGCGCGCGUAGGCGGACUGGAAAGUUGGGGGUGUAAAUCCCGGGGCUCAACCCCGGAACUGCCUCCAAAACUCCCAGUCUUGAGUUCGAGAGAGGUGAGUGGAAUUCCGAGUGUAGAGGUGAAAUUCGUAGAUAUUCGGAGGAACACCAGUGGCGAAGGCGGCUCACUGGCUCGAUACUGACGCUGAGGUGCGAAAGUGUGGGGAGCAAACAGGAUUAGAUACCCUGGUAG
rnacentral:rRNA from 1 species